UAUCCCAAUUAUGCAUUCUGGAACUGGGGUU
rnacentral:piRNA from 1 species